rnacentral:rRNA from 1 species
AGAGUUUGAUCCUGGCUCAGGAUGAACGCUGGCGGCGUGUUUAAUAUAUGUAAGUUGAAUGUAUUUUUGGGUGAGUGGUGGAUGGGUGAGUAAUGUGUGAGAAUUUGUCCUUAGGAGGGGGAUAACGGCUGGAAAUGGCCGUUAAUAUCCCAUAUGUUGUGAGGUGAAAUGAGUUUUUGCCUGAGGAUGAGUUUGUGUUUGAUUAGUAGUUGGUGGGGUAAGAGUUUAUUAAGGUAUUGAUUAGUAGCUGGUCUGAGAGGAUGAUCAGCUACAUUGGGAUUGAGAUAUGGUUUAGAUUUUUAUGGGAGGUAGUAGUGGGGAAUUUUUUGUAAUGGGCGAAAGCCUGAUGGAGUAACGCCGCGUGAGGGAUGAAGGCCUUUGGGCUGUAAACCUCUUUUCUCAAGGAAGAAGAUUUGAUGGUAUUUGAGGAAUAAGCCACGGUUAAUUCCGUGCCAGUAGUUGUGGUAAUACGGGAGUGGCAAGCGUUAUCCGGAAUUAUUGGGCGUAAAGCGUUCGUAGGUGGUCUUGAAAGUCUGUUGUUAAAGUGUGGAGUUUAAUUUUAUUUUAGCAAUGGAAAUUAGAAGACUAGAGUGUGGUAGGGGUAGAGGGAAUUUUUGGUGUAGUGGUGAAAUGUGUAGAUAUUGGGAAGAAUAUUAGUGGUGAAGGUGUUUUGUUGGGUUAUAAUUGAUGCUCAUGGACGAAAGCCAGGGGAGCGAAAGGGAUUAGAUAUUUUUGUAGUUUUGGUUGUAAAUGAUGAAUAUUAGGUGUUGGGGGAAUUGAUUUUUUUGGUGUUGUAGUUAAUGUGUUAAGUGUUCCGUUUGGGGAGUAUGUAUGUAAGUGUGAAAUUUAAAGGAAUUGAUGGGGGUUUGUAUAAGUGGUGGAGUAUGUGGUUUAAUUUGAUGCAAUGCGAAGAACCUUAUUAGGGUUUGACAUCCUGCGAAUCCCUGAGAAAUCGGGGAGUGCCUUCGGGAGCGCAGAGAUAGGUGGUGCAUGGCUGUUGUUAGCUUGUGUUGUGAGAUGUUGGGUUAAGUUUUGUAAUGAGUGUAACCCACGUCUUUAGUUGUUAGUAUUUAGUUGGGUAUUUUAGAGAGACCGCCGGUGAUAAACCGGAGGAAGGUGUGGAUGACGUUAAGUCAUCAUGCCCCUUAUAUCCUGGGCUACACACGUACUACAAUGCUAUGGAUAAAGGGUAGUAAAUUUGUGAGAGUUAGUAAAUUUUGUAAAUUGUGGCUCAGUUCAGAUCGUAGGCUGUAAUUUGCCUACGUGAAGGAGGAAUCGUUAGUAAUCGCAGGUUAGUAUACUGCGGUGAAUACGUUCCCGGGCCUUGUACACACCGCCCGUCACACCAUGGAAGUUGGCCACGCCUGAAGUUGUUAUU